GAUGAACGCUAGCGGCAGGCCUAACACAUGCAAGUCGAGGGGUAACUAGAGUGAUGGCAAUAUUACUUUGGCUAGACCGGCGCACGGGUGCGUAACACGUAUGCAACCUACCUUAUACUGGGGAAUAACUUCGAGAAAUCGGUGCUAAUACCCCAUAACAUUGCGAAGAGGCAUCUCUUUGCAAUUAAAGCUCCGGCGGUAUAAGAUGGGCAUGCGUCCAAUUAGCUAGUUGGUGAGGUAACGGCUCACCAAGGCUACGAUUGGUAGGGGUUCUGAGAGGAUGAUCCCCCACACUGGUACUGAGACACGGACCAGACUCCUACGGGAGGCAGCAGUGAGGAAUAUUGCGCAAUGGACGAAAGUCUGACGCAGCCAUGCCGCGUGCAGGAUGACGGCCCUAUGGGUUGUAAACUGCUUUUGUACGGGAAUAAACCCUUCUACGUGUAGGAGGCUGAAGGUACCGUAAGAAUAAGCACCGGCUAACUCCGUGCCAGCAGCCGCCGUAAUAC
rnacentral:rRNA from 1 species